UUGCCUACGGGGGGCAGCAGUGGGGAAUAUUGCACAAUGGGGGGAACCCUGAUGCAGCAAUGCCGCGUGGGUGAAGAAGCACUCCGGUGCGUAAAGCCCUGUCAGCAGGGAAGAAAAUGACAGUACCUGACCAAGAAGCCCCGGCUAACUACGUGCCAGCAGCCGCGGUAAUACGUAGGGGGCAAGCGUUAUCCGGAUUUACUGGGUGUAAAGGGAGCGUAGACGGUGCAGCAAGUCUGAUGUGAAAGGUCGGGGCCCAACCCCGGGACUGCAUUGGAAACUGUUGAACUGGAGUACAGGAGAGG
rnacentral:rRNA from 1 species